rnacentral:rRNA from 1 species
GACGAAUGCUGGCGGCGUGCUUAACACAUGCAAGUCGAACGGAAAGGCCCUGCUUUUGUGGGGUGCUCGAGUGGCGAACGGGUGAGUAACACGUGAGUAACCUGCCCUUGACUUUGGGAUAACUUCAGGAAACUGGGGCUAAUACCGGAUAGGAGCUCCUGCUGCAUGGUGGGGGUUGGAAAGUUUCGGCGGUUGGGGAUGGACUCGCAGCUUAUCAGCUUGUUGGUGGGGUAGUGGCUUACCAAGGCUUUGACGGGUAACCGGCCUGAGAGGGUGACCGGCCACAUUGGGACUGAGAUACGGCCCAGACUCCUACGGGAGGCAGCAGUGGGGAAUAUUGCACAAUGGGCGGAAGCCUGAUGCAGCAACGCCGCGUGCGGGAUGACGGCCUUCGGGUUGUAAACCGCUUUCGCCUGUGACGAAGUGUGAGUGACGGUAAUGGGUAAAGAAGCACCGGCUAACUACGUG